rnacentral:pre_miRNA from 1 species
CCACAACUUAAAUGUGGAUGUACUUGUUUUGUUCCUGAAAAUAAGUGCUUCCAUGUUUUAGUGACGG